UCCACCACCAGGUGGCGCUGUAACUCAGAGUGUAUUUCAAACAGUGGAUGUGAUGAGGGCUGGACUCUGAUCACUCAUGAAAAGUUUCAGGCUGAUUUGAUCAUGUAGAGGCCAGUUAUACAGCAUUUAUUGUCCCUCCAACAGGUGGCGCUGCGACUGAGAGUGUCUGUUGGCCUGUAGAUGUGAUCAGGAUUGGAUUGUGAUCACACAUGGAAAGUUUGAGGCAGAUUGGAGCAUGCAGAGGAGAGUUUUACAGCAGUUGAUGUUUCAUGGCGAAGCAUCAAAACGCUGAUGGUCGCCAUGGCCACGCCAUUUGGCUUCUGGUUAAACUUUUGAUAACUUUUCCAAACCAAGUCCUGCUGUGUGGACUGACAAAAUUUCAGGUCUCCUGGAAUUAUCCCCGAGGAGGUAUUAACUCUCAAAAAUGAGAAAAAUCAUCAAAAAUCUCACAAUUAAUCCAAGAUGGCCGACUUCCUGUUGGGUUUAGGACAUGGCUCCAAGAGGCUUUUUUGUGCGUCCUGAUGUGCUCUAUAAGCCUCCCAAAUUUCAUGGAUGUAGGUGAAACGUGCUGGGGGGGCUGUUUGUUAAAAAUACUGUAGGGGGCGCUAUAGCAUGUGCAGUGCCGAGAUGCAUACAGUGUUGUUCCUUGGGUCAAUGGUGAUGUGUGUGGUAAUUUUUGUGAGCAUUGGAGUAUUCCUAACCUGUCAGAAAGGGCUUUGUUUUUCAUGGCGAUAUUUGGUUGCUACGGCAACAGCGUUGCAUGAAAUGUCACACCCUUCACAGUGUGUGAUUGUCAAGAGGUGAAGACUCGACUGACCAAUUUCCAGCAUGAUAUCACCAAGUUUGGGGCCAUUGUACCUGAAAAUAUAAGGCCUUAAACUUACUAUUACCAACAGGUGGCGCUAUGACUUUUCCAAAAUUUAUGAGUGUGGAUGUGUUCAGACUGGACCUGGUAUCCAGCAUGUGAAGUCUGAGGCAGAUAGGAUGUUGUUCAGCUGAGAUAUGAAUCGUUAAAUUUUCAUGGCGAAACAUCGAAAUUGGUUUGGCCGCCACAGACACGCCCUUUGAUGACAAGUCACCAUUUUCACUGGGAUGCAUCAUCAAUGUGUUUAGGCUGUUGUCACUGCAUUUGAAGUGAAUAUGAUCAACCGGGUAACAAUACGGCAUGAAAGUGUAAAAGAUGUCUAUUUCCUGAAACCACAAGGUGGCGCUAUGACUGUCAAUGAAUAUCCCUAUGUGGAUGACAUCAGGGCAGGACUGUCAUCAUACAUGUAAAGUUUCAGGCAGAUUGGAGCAUGUUGAGAAGAAUUAGACACCACUUCCUGUUUCAUGGCGAAGGAUCAGUUGUUUGAGGCUCCGCCAUGGCCACACCUUUUGGCUUCUGGUUGAGUUUUUGAUAACUUUUCAUCAGAAAGGUCUGGUGCAUGUACUGGCCAAAUUUCAGUUCUCUCAGACUUAUCCACUAGGAGCUAUAAAUUUUGACAAAUGUACAGCAAAUUCAAGAUGGCCGACUUCCUGUUGGGUUUAGGGUGUGGCUGUGAUUGACUUUUUGGUGUGUCCUGAUGUGGUGCAUAUGCCCACCAAAUAUUGUAGCUGUAAAUAAAACAUUGUGGAAGUUGGCCUAAUGACCACUUUUUCAAUUUUGCAGGUGGCGCUAUAGAGCCAUUUUUUCACACAUAUGCGCAACUCCCAUAAAAUAUCAAAUUUUUCGCCAGUCCUGAUGUGCACGCCAAAUUUCACGCGUUUUGGUUCAUGAUAAGGCCGCCAAAAAGGCAAGUCAUUUCCCGAGGAGCGAUUAAGUUUGAAAAAUUUACAGCAAAUUGAAGGUGGCCGACUUCCUGUUGGGUUUAGGGCGUGGCUGUAAUUGACUUUUUGGUGUGUCCAGAUGUUCUGCAUAUGCCCACCAAAUAUUGUAGCUGUACAUGAAACAUUGUGGCAGUUGGCCUAAUGACUACUUUUUCAAGUUUGCAGGUGGCGCUAUAGAGCCAUUUUGCCACGCACAUGCGCAACUCCCAUAAAAUAUCAAAUUUUUCGCCAGUCCUGAUGUGCAUGCCAAAUUUCACGCGUUUUGGAGUAUGAUAAGGCCGCCAAAAAGCCAAUUUACUUUACGGGAGAAAAAAAAUAAAAAUAAAAUAAUAAUAAUAAUAAUUAAAGCUGCAAGCAGCGAUGGACGGGUCCUCGCAUCCACGCUGGUCGGUGAAUCCACGCACGACCACCAGGUGGCGCUGCGACUGAGAGUGUAUGUCGGCCUCUGAAUCGCAUCUGGACCAGAGUCCAAUCAUACAUGUAAAAUUUCAGCCAGACUGUCGCAUGUUCAGAGCAGUUAUAGAGCAUUUCCUGUCUAUCCACCAGGUGGCGCUGUAACUCAGAGUGUAUUUCACACAGUGGAUGUGAUGAGGGUUGGACUCUGAUCACUCAUGAAAAGUUUCAGGCUGAUUUGAUCAUGUAGAGGCCAGUUAUACAGCAUUUACUGUCCCUCCAACAGGUGGCGCUGCGACUGAGAGUGUCUGUUGGCCUGUAGAUGUGAUCAGGAUUGGAUUUUGAUCACACAUGGAAAGUUUGAGGCAGAUUGGAGCAUGCAGAGGAGAGUUAUACAGCAGUUGUUGUUUCAUGGCGAAGCAUCAAAACUCUAAUGGUCGCCAUGGCCACGCCAUUUGGCUUCUGGUUGAACUUUUGAUAACUUUUCAUCACCAAGUCCUGCUGUGUGGACUGACAAAAUUUCAGGUCUCCUGGAAUUAUCCCCGAGGAGGUAUUAACUCUCAAAAAUGAGAAAAAUCAUCAAAAAUCUCACAAUUAAUCCAAGAUGGCCGACUUCCUGUUGGGUUUAGGACAUGGCUCCAAGAGGCUUUUUUGUGCGUCCUGAUGUGCUCUAUAAGCCUCCCAAAUUUCAUGGAUGUAGGUGAAACGUGCUGGGGGGGCUGUUUGUUAAAAAUACUGUAGGGGGCGCUAUAGCAUGUGCAGUGCCGAGAUGCAUACAGUGUUGUUCCUUGGGUCAAUGGUGAUGUGUGUGGUAAUUUUUGUGAGCAUUGGAGUAUUCCUAACCUGUCAGAAAGGGCUUUGUUUUUCAUGGCGAUAUUUGGUUGCUACGGCAACAGCGUUGCAUGAAAUGUCACACCCUUCACAGUGUGUGAUUGUCAAGAGGUGAAGACUCGACUGACCAAUUUCCAGCAUGAUAUCACCAAGUUUGGGGCCAUUGUACCUGAAAAUAUAAGGCCUUAAACUUACUAUUACCAACAGGUGGCGCUAUGACUUUUCCAAAAUUUAUGAGUGUGGAUGUGUUCAGACUGGACCUGGUAUCCAGCAUGUGAAGUCUGAGGCAGAUAGGAUGUUGUUCAGCUGAGAUAUGAAUCGUUAAAUUUUCAUGGCGAAACAUCGAAAUUGGUUUGGCCGCCACAGACACGCCCUUUGAUGACAAGUCACCAUUUUCACUGGGAUGCAUCAUCAAUGUGUUUAGGCUGUUGUCACUGCAUUUGAAGUGAAUAUGAUCAACCGGGUAACAAUACGGCAUGAAAGUGUAAAAGAUGUCUAUUUCCUGAAACCACAAGGUGGCGCUAUGACUGUCAAUGAAUAUCCCUAUGUGGAUGACAUCAGGGCAGGACUGUCAUCAUACAUGUAAAGUUUCAGGCAGAUUGGAGCAUGUUGAGAAGAAUUAGACACCACUUCCUGUUUCAUGGCGAAGGAUCAGUUGUUUGAGGCUCCGCCAUGGCCACACCUUUUGGCUUCUGGUUGAGUUUUUGAUAACUUUUCAUCAGAAAGGUCUGGUGCAUGUACUGGCCAAAUUUCAGUUCUCUCAGACUUAUCCACUAGGAGCUAUAAAUUUUGACAAAUGUACAGCAAAUUCAAGAUGGCCGACUUCCUGUUGGGUUUAGGGUGUGGCUGUGAUUGACUUUUUGGUGUGUCCUGAUGUGGUGCAUAUGCCCACCAAAUAUUGUAGCUGUAAAUAAAACAUUGUGGAAGUUGGCCUAAUGACCACUUUUUCAAUUUUGCAGGUGGCGCUAUAGAGCCAUUUUUUCACACAUAUGCGCAACUCCCAUAAAAUAUCAAAUUUUUCGCCAGUCCUGAUGUGCACGCCAAAUUUCACGCGUUUUGGUUCAUGAUAAGGCCGCCAAAAAGGCAAGUCAUUUCCCGAGGAGCGAUUAAGUUUGAAAAAUUUACAGCAAAUUGAAGAUGGCCGACUUCCUGUUGGGUUUAGGGCGUGGCUGUAAUUGACUUUUUGGUGUGUCCAGAUGUUCUGCAUAUGCCCACCAAAUAUUGUAGCUGUACAUGAAACAUUGUGGCAGUUGGCCUAAUGACUACUUUUUCAACUUUGCAGGUGGCGCUAUAGAGCCAUUUUGCCACGCACAUGCGCAACUCCCAUAAAAUAUCAAAUUUUUCGCCAGUCCUGAUGUGCAUGCCAAAUUUCACGCGUUUUGGAGUAUGAUAAGGCCGCCAAAAAGCCAAUUUACUUUACGGGAGAAAAAAAAAAAAAAAAAAAAAAAAAAAAUAAUAAUAAUAAUAAUAAUAAUAAUAAACCCUAGGGUUUCAAUAGGGUCCUUGGCACCGCUGGUGCCUUGGACAGUCGGUGCCCUGGCACCGCCUGUCCUUCGCACCCUCGGUGCUCGGACCCUAAUAAUAAUAAUAAACCCUAGGGUUUCAAUAGGGUCCUUGGCACCGCUGGUGCCUUGGACAGUCGGUGCCCUGGCACCGCCUGUCCUUCGCACCCUCGGUGCUCGGACCCUAAUAAUAAUAAUAAUAAUAAUAAUAAUAAUAAUAAUAAUAAACCCUAGGGUUUCAAUAGGGUCCUUGGCACCGCUGGUGCCUUGGACAGUCGGUGCCCUGGCACCGCCUGUCCUUCGCACCCUCGGUGCUCGGACCCUAAUAAUAAUAAUAAUAAUAAUAAUAAACCCUAGGGUUUCAAUAGGGUCCUUGGCACCGCUGGUGCCUUGGACAGUCGGUGCCCUGGCACCGCCUGUCCUUCGCACCCUCGGUGCUCGGACCCUA